rnacentral:lncRNA from 1 species
GUUAAGGCAAGGGGAGAUGAGGACAGGGGAGGAGAAUCGAGGCGAUGUGGGGAGAAGGAAGACAUGGAGAGGGGAGACAAGACUAGAUGAGGGAACAGCAUUGCCUCCUUAAGUCUUGGUGUUGAGGGCAUUAAUAUAGCCCAGGCUCCACACAGAGACCCAGCCUGAGAUCAUCUUCCUCUCUGUAGAAGAUAAGGCUUUAGGCUGGACACCACUGCCUGCACACAUUACAGGUCUCCAUAGGAGGCUGAGGAGGCCAUUCCAGAUCACUGGUCCAGGCGGGCUCCCAGAGUCCUGACUGAAGGCUGGCUGAAUGGACUUCAUUGGCUGCUAGCCCAGCACCCCAGAAAGCACUGAGCUAGGCUGAAACACCUGCAUUUUGGAGCUGCCUUACUCAAGAAGCAAAAAAGAGACCAAAGUCUGACAGUGAGUUGGAAGAAGAGGAUGAGAUUGACCCUCAGCCAGCCCUAGGAACAGUCCACCAGCAGCCAGCACCAGGACCAGCACAUCAGCAGCCAGCCUCAGCACCAGUCCAUCAGCAGCCAACCCCAGGAUCAGCUCAUCAGCAGCCAGCCCCAGCACCAGUCCAUCAGCAGCCAGCCCCAGGACCAGCCCAUCAGCAGCCAGCCUCAGCACCAGUCCAUCAGCAGCC